CUUUACUGAACAUGUACGUGCCUAGGAAGUCUCAGGAAUGGAUAGAAGAUAAAGUACAUAAUAGUUUCCUGAAGCAGCAGAAUGAAAGAACUCUCUGUGGCAUGAAAAUUUACUAUUCGGAAUCACACCGUCAGUUCUCCUGGUUCUCAACCCUUCAGAGACAGACUGAAUUACACCACCAGCUUUCUUGGUUCUCCAGGAUGCAGAUGGCAUUAACAUGAGACUCCUUUACCUCCAUGACUGUGGAGGCAGCAGCUGAGGCUGUGGUGGGAGAAGAAUGACAAGAACUGAGCGUGGGCCACGGGCUCUUACCUUCAGCAACUUCAUCAGCUCUUCCAGCUGGACCAUCAGCUCCCGCCUGCUCUCCUGCAGGGCCGACAUCCUCUGCUCCAGUUCAUCCUUCCUUUGCCUAUCCAAGACGAGAAGCCUAUCAGAUAAAGAGACCCUCAAAGAUGGAUCUAAGGCCAGGUGAAAUGGAUUUCAGACCUGAUCCUGCUACUUACCAGUUAUGAGACGCUGAGCAAGUCAUUUAGCAUCCAAUACCUCAUAAAAUGGUGAUAAUGUCUGUUUUGCCUACUUCCUGGACUGUUCUGAGAAUAAUAGGUAAAAGUGCUUUGGAAAGUUUAGAUGACUAUAUAAAGGUAUUACUUAUAUUACCAGAGUGAAUUAAUGAUUAAAAAACUCUUUAGAAAAUCAAUGCCUUUUGAAAAAUAUAUAAAAUUAGCCCAAAUUUAGAUUAAUAGUAAAGAAACCAUAUUAAACUGCUCAGAGAAAACAGGGUCCAGUAGUAAGUACUUUCAGCACUAGACAGAUUCAAGAAGGAUGACAGAUCAGGACGGCUCCCUGUGUUCAAGAACAGUCACUUUUCCUUGAGGAUAGAUUUUAUGCCAUCUACUCCAGCUCAAUAUGUCCAAAACCAGACUUAAGACUUUAUUCCCUAAAUGGUUUUCUUGUCUCUGUCUCUUUUUUUUUCCUUGUCUCUGUCUCUUUUCCCUGUCUCUGCUAUUUUUCCUUCCAGGUGUCAUGGUUGAAAAACUCAGUCCUCUUUGUUACUUUCUUCUUUAUAUCCUGUAUUCAAUCAAUAACUCAAUUCAGAUCAUUCUUUCUUGGAAAAUGUAUGUGCCUAUCUUUCUAUUCCCAUUUCUCUCACUUUAUCUAAGCACUCCUUACCUCAAGCAUGAAACAGUCUCCUUAUGUGAUUAAUCCUGCUUUCUUUUUUUUUUUUUUUGUGACGGAGUCUCACUCUGUCGCCCAGGCUGGAGUGCAGUGGUGCCAUCUUGUCUCAACUGCAACCUCCGCUUCCCCAGUUCAAGUGAUUCUCCUGCCUCAGCCUCCUAAAUAGCUGGGAUUACAGGCAUCGCCACCAUGCCCAGUUAAUUUUUGUAUUUUUAGUAGAGAUGGAGUUUCACCAUGUUGGCCAGGCUGGUCUCGAACUCCUGACCUCAAGUGAUCCACCUGCCUCAGCCUCCCAAAGUGCUGGGAUUACAGUCGUGAGCCACCGCACCUGGCUCUUUCAUCUUUUAUGGUGAGGAAAAAGCAGUGAAAUAGAAGUCAAUGGCCUCAAAGUUGAGUAUCAGCACCAGUAUUUACCAAAUAUGCAACCUUAGACAAGUCACUUAGCCUCAGUUUUCUCUCUUCUAAAAGGGGACUAGUAACAGCAACAAUAUUCUGAGGAUCAUAUAAGGUAAUAAAUAUGAGAGUGUUCUACGAACUUUAAACUGCCGCUCAAAACAAAGCUAUGUUCAUUUCAUCAUCCCAUAAUGAUCUCAACAGACUUUCUAGCAUCACUGACCCUUGCCUGUGCAAUCGAGACCUACGCUGUCUAUCACAGCAGCCGCUAGCCACGCGUGACUACCGAGCCCCUGAAACAGGGCUAGGCUGAACUGAGAUGCACGGCAAUUGUAACAUACACACUGGAAUUCAAAGACUUAGUGCAGGAAACAGCAAAGUAUCUGGAUCAUGUUUUAAUACUGAUUACAUGUUGAAAGGACAAUAUUUUGAAAAUAUCAGGUUAAGUAAGAUAUACUAUUAAAAUUAAUGACGCCUAUUACUUUUUGGUUUUUCAAUGAGGCUGUUAGAAAUGUUUUGAUUAUGUGCGUGGCCUGCAUUUCUAUCGGCGAGUGCGGCUCUAGAUCCCAUCUACAUUCCUGUCCUUAGUACCACACCUCCUAUCUUAUGCCCUUUGUGUCUGGACCUCCAGCUUACGGUUCAUUUUUCCUAAGUGGGCUCCAUCAUUUUAUAACUCACCUCUCUUCCAAAUCUUAUUCAUUCCGUAAUGUCUGACCCAACAUCACUGUCGGGAAGCUGCUCCUGAUCACUUCAGCAGGGACUGCUUGAUUAAGCACUACAGUAAUUAGUGCUCCUCAGUGGUACUUAAUUUACUUUACUGCUGCCAUUCCUACCAUGAUGCAAAAUCCUUGAGGUCAGGGGAUGGGCCUUACUCAUCCUUGCAUGUAUUGAAGGAUUAAGAAAAUAUCAUGCAUCCAGUAUCACCUAAUUAACAUCUACUGAACUUACCAAAAUCAUGAUUUGAAACUCUCCAAGGGUUUCCAAUGACCUAACAAUUAAGACUUUCUAGAAUCUGAUCUCAAUUGCCUGGCUAAUUAUAUCUCCUAUCACUGGCACUCUGAAGAUUGAUGUAAUGAAUGAUUGAAAAGAAAUUCUUAGUUCCAAGACUCUUUCCCUUUUCUGAAAUGUGCCAUAAUUAUUUGGGGGGAAUCAUGCUGAACCCCAAGUGCACUUCCAAUCUGAAAUGUUUUGUCCUACACUCCAUCCAAAUCAUUAUCUACUUUUCAUGGUCUAGCUCAACUUCUACCACCUCCAUGGUUCCAAAUGCUUCCAGAGGAAAAUUAGACACACAAAGGUGGUAGGGAAUAAAUAUAGAUAUAAUACCUAUAUUAUAUAGGUAUUAUAUAUGUAAAAUCUUGUGUGUAUACAUACAUUAUAUUAUAUAUAUUUCCCUACACAGAUUUCUUAUCCAUACUGUUUAUUGACAUUGCACAAUAUUUUUUAACUAUCAAAUUAUUUUAUGUUUUGUUCCAAAACCAGAUUAUAAGUUUUUAGGAAGGACUCAUUGUCUUCUAGUCUUCAUACUCUCUACAUUUCCAGUGCAGUAGACCCUCGAUAAGAAGGAUCUACUCAUUCAAUGUUCUAGGAAGACUUCUUCCUCUGAACUCCUGAGCCUGGGUGUGAUAUUCUUUAUCUGUACUGUGUGUGACCAAACAAUUACGGUAUAAGCUGAACAUGAAUGAGCUACAGCUACAUCCAACCACAGAGAACGAUCCUAAAGGCUAAUAUGGUGGGGGUAGGGGGUGGAGAGGGAAGUCCUCUGGGACUAUCCCCACCAUAUUAGUAUAAUAUUUCUAUUAAGCUUAGAAAACAAAAAGCAAAACUAAACAGCUUAUUACAUAGGAUAGUGAUAAUGCGACAAUAUUGUUUUAAACACAAGGUAAUGAUAAACCAAAUUCUGGAUAGGCGUUCACCCAGUGGGGAAGGUGGAGGCAAGGAAAUGGGGUAAGGGAGAGGUACUUCUAUGGAUGGCAUUGUUUUAGUCAUAUUAUGAGUUCUCAAAUAGGAUGUGGGUUUAUAAGUAUUCAUUUGACUAUUACGCUUCAUAUACGUUUGUCGCACACACAUUCGUCAUACAUUUUAUUGUAAGCAACGUACCAUUAAAAAUAAUAAUAAAGGAAGAAAAGGCA
rnacentral:lncRNA from 1 species